rnacentral:rRNA from 1 species
CCGCCCCGAAUUGUAGUCUAGAAAGGCGCCAUCGGCCGCAUCCGUCGCUUAAGUUCCUUGGAAUAGGAGAGUCGGAGAAGGUGAGAACCCUGUACCGUGGCGGAAUGCGGCCGCACGAUGCGUCCUUGCAGAGUCGGGUUGCUUGGGAUUGCAGCUUGAAUUGGGUGGUAAAUUCCAUCUAAAGCUAAAUAUUGGCUCAUGACCGAUAGCGAACAAGUACCGUGAGGGAAAGAUGCAAAGAACUUUGAAAAGAGAGUUAAAGAGUGCUUGAAAUCGGCGAGAGGAAACCCGUUUGCGCCCGGUUUCGUGUCGUCAACUCAGCCGUUUCGAAGCGGUGCACUUUGGCGAUGCGGGUCCGCCGCGACUAGGGACGCGUUACAAUCACCAGGGGGGCUUCGGUGAGCCUGGACAUGUCGCGUCUCUGGUCCCGUUGGACAUAACGGGCGCAACCGACCCGUCUAGAAACACGGACCAAGGAGUCUGACACGGAUGCGAGUUCGUAGGUGGCAAGCCUACCAGCGCAAUGAAAGUAAAGGGCGUGCCCCGCCAACCGACCUUGAUCUUCUGUGAAGGGUUUGAGUCGAGCAUCACUGUCGGGACCCGAAAGAUGGUGAACUAUGCCUGAGGAGGUUGAAGUCUGCCGAAAGGCAGAUGGAGGGCCGUAGCGAUACUGACGUGCAAAUCGUUCGUCGAACUUGGGUAUAGGGGCGAAAGACUAAUCGAACCAUCUAGUAGCUGGUUCCCUCCGAAGUUUCCCUCAGGAUAGCUUGGACGCAAGGGUUUUGU